UCGAUGUCGAAUGCGAUGCCGAAGGACGGUCUGCGAAAGAACUCCAAAAGAAAGAUUGCAGCAAUCCAGAUGGAUAAUGCAAGAAAGACGAAACAGCGGGGUAUGCGGGAAGAGACCUAUCGGACUGGGGUUGGAGCCGGGAGAAGGAGCGCCGGAAGCAACGCGACCGGCUGGUUUUGAUAUUGGCCAAAGAGGCCCUGAAGACGGAGCGGAAUCUCAUCUUCCUUCUCUCCUUUUCUGACACCGGCUCUGCUACCUCCUUUCCCCUGGGCAGGGUUUUAAGGCUC
rnacentral:lncRNA from 1 species